rnacentral:rRNA from 1 species
CCAAUAGCGUAUAUUAAAGUUGUUGCAGUUAAAAAGCUCGUAGUUGAAUUUCAGGCCUGGCUGGACGGUCCGCCCUUCGGGUGAGUACUGUCUGUGGUCGGGUCCUACCUUCUGGCGAAGCGUCAUGGCCUUAACCGGCCGUGGCGGGGAACCAGGACUUUUACUGUGAAAAAAUUAGAGUGUUCAAAGCAGGCAAAUCGCUUGGAUACAUUAGCAUGGAAUAAUGGAAUAGGACAAUGGUUCUAUUUGUUGGUUUCUAGGACCGUUGUAAUGAUUAAUAGGGAUAGUUGGGGGCAUUAGUAUUCAAUUGUCAGAGGUGAAAUUCUUGGAUUUAUUGAAGACUAACUACUGCGAAAGCAUUUGCCAAGGAUGUUUUCAUUAAUCAAGAACGAAAGUUAGGGGAUCGAAGACGAUCAGAUACCGUCGUAGUCUUAACCAUAAACUAUGCCGACUAGGAAUCGGGCGACGUUAUUUUCAUGACUCGCUCGGCGCCUUAUG